CUUUAAUGUGUUUAAGCAUUUAAAACCAUACAGUACAAGAGAAAUUAAGGAACAAAUAAAUACCAAAUAAAUACCAAAGUUUCUAUAGAUACAGGUUAUCUUUGCAUUAAGUAUCACUGUGGGAUAUUGCAUGAUGCAUCUAAUAAAAUGAACAUCAAAACCAUCUAAAUAUAUUUAAAUAUUUGUAUUGCACAAAUUCAUAUAAUUAGGUACAUUCUAUUGAAACUACUUUUACAUUUUAAAUUGCAUGAACAAUAUGGCAGUUUAUAUGUAUACUCAGAGGUCAGGGUUAAGGCGUUUUACUAUAUGCCGUCAAUUGAAGUUGCACUGCAUUUUUUUUUUUUUUAACAUUAUAGUAAAACUACGUUUAAGCUAUGAUGAUGCUUAAAUACAAUGUGAUAAUUUAUCAAGAAGCCCGAAGUACAAAUUGCUAUAUCGACAAUUUAAUGUUAUGUACACGUUCAUUGUUUAAAUCUUAUAUAUGCUGACAAUAUAAAUAUAAUUACAAAUUGUUACUACUUGAAUCCAUAAAAAAAUAGUUUAUGACGAAGACAAAUCAGUCCCGAGGAGUUUUACUCUGAGCCGUCUCACCUGAGUCUUCCUAGCUUCAAGCCUAGGGUAUGACAUCAAAGAAUCCGUAGGUUAGGAUUUCGCCGACAUACCCUGACUGAAAGAGAUGCUUAUCUCAUAUUUGAUUUUCCUGUAACGUCAUUGUAUCAUUUUUUCAUCGAGUUGCUUACUGUGAAGUAGAGAAUUACACACACGCACAUACAAUAUGCACACCACAUAUUAAUACGAUGCGUUAUCCAGCGAUGUAUGUUUCAACUGUACUCCUUAAUAUGAACACGAUAUCAAGAGUAAGCAUAUGUGCAUAUCGAGCUUCAAACAUUUUCAUACAGGAUAUUUAUACCAAACCAAACCAUUGUUGUUGUCUUUUUGAGAUGACUUGGGGUAAAGAUCUUGACUAAUUCUACCUAUUUUCUUAAAUGAAUACAACCCUCUCUUAAGAUGUAUUCGAUGUACGAUGCUGUAUAUGGUCCUUUGUUAUAAACAAAUGUGCCAGUUGAAACAAAAACAAAUAAGAGAAAUCGUUAGAUCUCAUACAGGUAUUUCAUAAGUUCCAGGUGUCAAACUAAGAACAGACAACGUUAGAUCUCAUACAGGUAUUUCAUAAGUUCCAGGUGUCAAACUUGGAACAGAAAACGUUAGAUCUUAUACAGGUAUUUCAUAAGUUCCAGGUGUCAAACUAAGAACAGACAACGUUAGAUCUCAUACAGGUAUUUCAUAAGUUCCAGGUGUCAAACUUGGAACAGAAAACGUUAGAUCUUAUACAGGUAUUUCAUAAGUUCCAGGUGUCAAACUAAGAACAGACAACGUUAGAUCUUAUACAGGUAUUUCAUAAGUUCUAGGUGUCAAACUUUGAACAGAAAACGUUAGAUCUCAUACAGGUGUUUAAUCAGUUUCAGGUGUCAAACUUAGAACAGAAAACGUUAGAUCUCAUACAGGUGUUUCAUCAGUUCCAGGUGUCAAACUUAGAACAGAAAACG
rnacentral:lncRNA from 1 species